GGGAGUGUACCGAAGCGGCCAAACGGGGCAGACUGUAAAUCUGCUGGCUCACGCCUUCGUUGGUUCAAAUCCAACCGCUCCCA
rnacentral:tRNA from 1 species